ACGAACCAUUUGGAACAAAAGAGUGAACCGGAGUUCUACAGACGUCCCGAUCAAAGGCUUUGAUUAUCUUCUAUACCUGAUCUUGAGAUAGUGCCCAGAAGUAAAUGGCUUGCCCGUUCAUAACUGAGUUUCCAGGGUUUUCUUUGCAAGCGCGAGAUCCCUGUGCUAGCUAGGCGAAAGAAUGCCCGCGCUCAGUUUAGGUUAUUUUUGUGGAUCGUUUUGUUGUAAUAAUUUUAUACACGCACACACGCACGCACACACAUACACACACACACACACACACACUCAAACAUAUAUACCUAAAGGAACACAAAGGCUAAAUAUUUACAAUACUGGCGUAUUGAUGUGAUCCGAAUAAUUUGCAAAAUAUGCAAAAUAGACGUGUGUGUGUGCGUAUACUUUUGAGUAUAGCUCAUAAAAGUGCUGUUGCAAAUCCAUCCCCAACCAAUCCAAAGGCAUUCAAAGGAAUUCAUGUUUUUUGGCAACACAAGUGCCAAAGCGCAUAAGUUUCAUGCGCUUCGCAUAAUACUGUGAUAGGAAAUAAUUAAAAUAAAUGCGGGGUCUAUGUGUCUGCGUGAAACUUUAUGUCAAGCACUGGCAGGUAACAUCUAUUGCAACGAUAUUUCGGUAUAGAAACGGAGUUUUUAAGGCUCAGAGGCUUCUGAGGUACGGGCAGAGGUGUUGGAGCUGUGCCGGGAAGAGAGAGCUAUGGGUCUGGACCUCAUCCAUAGAGCUAACAGCGAGCGCAUAGCUGCCACCGGCCACAUCGUAGAUGUUUUAGUCCCUGGUUAACGCGUUUUCCACUCCCUGUUUUGUAUUUAGAUAAUCGUAGCUGCCGCUGCGCCUAUUUAGUUCUAAAAAUAACACAACUUUAACGCCUGCACCUGUUUUGCUGGACCCCGUUUCGAAUGCAAAGGAGAGCAGUGCCCCCGUCCAAGCAGCUUCUCAGUGGUUCGAGAAGCACGGUGCUGAGCUUACCCGUAUGUCCUGAUCUUCUGCGGUCGCCAGAUCUCAACCCAGUCAAGCAUAUUCUGGGGCAGGAAGUACGACGGCGCUUUGUACGUCCAUCAGCUAAGCGUGAGGUGGCCGACUCUUGCAUGGUUGCGCGGUGUCGCGUUCCUCUCACAGAAUUCCGUGCGGUGGUUGACUCCGCAUCACAGCAAACGGACUGUACUGUAUGCAGCUGAUGGCCCAACACCCUUCAUACACAUUUCACUGACUAUAUGUGUUGUUAACCUUCAUUCUGCAUUCAGGUCCUGAGCAUGGAGGGAAAAUCGACUGGCUUUGAGACCCUGGAAACAUGCCCGGAAGCAAUGGGCAGUGGGUUGACAGACAUGCUGAAAUGUACAGUAUUAGCCCAGGACUGCAGUUUCUCUCAGCGAGCUUGUGAAGGUUAUUAAUAUGAUUUGUUUGUUUGUUUUCUUACUGGCCUUGAAGCCUGUUGUCUGGGUUUGGCUGCAGAACAUCUGUCCCUCACUCAUGACCUGUGUCCUUUAACAUACAGAUUUUGUGCAUUCAACCCUCUUGCCCUAAACACAAGAAUACAUUUCUCCCAUGUAUUGUGUGGGGAUCCAGUAUAAUGCUAUUCUUGAUUGGUCAUUUUUUGAGCCAAUCGAAGGCUGUUCUGAUAAUGUGUCCAGCACCUAACUACAAAUACCAAUGAUAGCAAGAAAUAAUAUUGUAAUUUAUUUGGGGACAUUUAUUGAAUGAUAUAAUCUAUUAUAUCAGUCAUUGCCACUGUGCUCUUAUUGGGAUAUUCUGUAUAUCUGCAUGUAACAUAUAUAUUAUAUAUUUGCACAUCAUGAAAAUAUAUUUCUAGUACCUCCAUGUAUUCAAAUGAUGUAUUCAAUGUAUUGCUAUGUAUUUUCAAUAUAUGGAAGUAUAUUUUUGUUGCAUAAGGGUAGAAGGUUGAGUGAGGGUAUCUACUUAUGACACACAUCCUCUAUUUGUUCAUUGUUAUUACUCUUUAAAUAAAUGAGAAAGUUUAUGUGGA